GCAUAUCAAUAAGCGGAGGAAAAGAAACCAACAGGGAUAGCCUCAGUAACGGCGAGUGAAGCGGCUACAGCUCAAAUUUGAAAGCUGGCGCCUUCGGCGUCCGCGUUGUAAUUUGGAGAGGAUGCUUCGGGUCAGGUCCCGGCCUAAGUCCCCUGGAACGGGGCGUCAGAGAGGGUGAGAAUCCCGUCUUUGGCCGGCGGCCGCGCCCGUGUGAAGCUCCUUCGACGAGUCGAGUUGUUUGGGAAUGCAGCUCUAAAUGGGUGGUAAAUUUCAUCUAAAGCUAAAUAUCAGCCAGAGACCGAUAGCGCACAAGUAGAGUGAUCGAAAGAUGAAAAGCACUUUGGAAAGAGAGUCAAACAGCACGUGAAAUUGUUGAAAGGGAAGCGCUUGCAACCAGACGUGCCCGCCGCCGCUCAGCCGCCGUUCUUCGGCGGUGCACUCGGCGGCGGGCAGGCCAGCAUCGGUUGGGGCGACCGGAUAAAGGCCCCGGGAAUGUAGCUCCCUCGGGAGUGUUAUAGCCCGGGGUGCCAUGCGGCCAGCCCCGACCGAGGAACGCGCAUCUGCUCGGAUGCUGGCGUAAUGGUUGCUAGCGACCCGUCUUGAAACACGGACCAAGGAGUCUAACAUCUAUGCGAGUGUUUGGGUGUCAAACCCGGGCGCGCAAUGAAAGUGAACGGAGGUGGGAACCCGCAAGGGUGCACCAUCGACCGAUCCUGAAGUUUACGGAUGGAUUUGAGUAAGAGCAUAGCUGUUGGGACCCGAAAGAUGGUGAACUAUGCCUGGAUAGGGUGAAGCCAGAGGAAACUCUGGUGGAGGCUCGCAGCGGUUCUGACGUGCAAAUCGAUCGUCAAAUCUGGGUAUUGGGGCGAAAGACUAAUCGAAC
rnacentral:rRNA from 1 species